GGGGUUGUGGCUCAGUGGUAGAGUGCUUGCCUAGCAUGCCCUGGGUUUGAUCCUCAGCACCACA
rnacentral:tRNA from 1 species